rnacentral:rRNA from 1 species
UACGUAGGCAGCAAGCGUUGUUCGGAGUUACUGGGCGUAAAGAGUGCGUAGGCGGUCCUGUAAGUUUGGUGUGAAAUCUCCCGGCUCAACUGGGAGGGUGCGCCGAAGACUGCAGGGCUUGAGUAUGGGAGAGGUAAGCGGAAUUCCUGGUGUAGCGGUGAAAUGCGUAGAUAUCAGGAGGAACACCUGUGGUGUAGACAGCUUACUGGACCAUAACUGACGCUGAGGCACGAAAAGCGUGGGUAGCAAACAGG